rnacentral:rRNA from 1 species
AAAUUGAAGAGUUUGAUCAUGGCUCAGAUUGAACGCUGGCGGCAGGCCUAACACAUGCAAGUCGAGCGGUAGCACAGAGAGCUUGCUCUCGGGUGACGAGCGGCGGACGGGUGAGUAAUGUCUGGGAAACUGCCUGAUGGAGGGGGAUAACUACUGGAAACGGUAGCUAAUACCGCAUAACGUCGCAAGACCAAAGUGGGGGACCUUCGGGCCUCAUGCCAU